GCGAAAAACCUUACCUACCCUUGACAUGUCCCAGAAGCCUGAAGAGAUUUAGGUGUGCCCGAAAGGGAGCUGGAACACAGGUGCUGCAUGGCUGUCGUCAGCUCGUGUCGUGAGAUGUUGGGUUAAGUCCCGCAACGAGCGCAACCCUUGUCGUUAAUUGCCAUCAUUUAGUUGGGCACUUUAACGAGACUGCCGGUGACAAACCGGAGGAAGGUGGGGAUGACGUCAAGUCCUCAUGGCCCUUAUGGGUAGGGCUUCACACGUCAUACAAUGGUCGGUACAGAGGGUUGCCAAGCCGCGAGGUGGAGCCAAUCCCAGAAAGCCGAUCGUAGUCCGGAUUGCAGGCUGCAACUCGCCUGCAUGAAGUCGGAAUCGCUAGUAAUCGCGGAUCAGCAUGUCGCGGUGAAUACGUUCCCGGGUCUUGUACACACCGCCCGUCACACCAUGGGAGCGGGUUCCGCCAGAAGUAGGUAGCCUAACCGCAAGGGGGGCGCUUACCACGGCGGGGUUCGUGACUGGGGUGAAGUCGUAACAAGGUAGCCGUAGGGGAACCUGCGGCUGGAUC
rnacentral:rRNA from 1 species